GCUGAUAUAGCUCAGCUGGUUAGAGCGUGUGGUCGUUGACGUCAAGGUCGGAGAUUUGAUUCCGCCCUCUGGCG